rnacentral:rRNA from 1 species
UACAGAGGUCCCAAGCGUUGUUCGGAUUCAUUGGGCGUAAAGGGUGCGUAGGCGGCGCGGUAAGUCGGGUGUGAAAUCUCGGGGCUUAACUCCGAAACUGCAUUCGAUACUGCCGUGCUUGAGGACUGGAGAGGAGACUGGAAUUUACGGGUGUAGCGGUGAAAUGCGUAGAUAUCGUAAGGAAGACCAGUGGCGAAGGCGGGGUCUCUGGACAGUUCCUGACGCUGAGGCACGAAGGCCAGGGGAGCAAACGGG